AUGGAUUUGCAAGGCUUAUCGGUCAUCUGCAACGGCCUCGGAAUCGCCCUAGACGACGACGACGGUAACCGGAUCGGCUACCGGAAGCACAAAUACUGCUUAGAUAAUUUGAAAGAUUUGCUGAGGUUCUUGCGGCGCGACGAUCCGCAGAAUCGGGAUGUUUUCAAGGAAGUUUGCAAGUGGAAUAUUUUAUCUAAGGAUUUGAUACCUAUUAUUGAGCACUGCCAGGAGGAUCGUAGCUUGGUUUUGAAUGCAGUGAAGGUUCUGGUGUUUCUUACUAUGCCGGUUGAGCCUACAUCAAAUGACGUUUUACAGCAAACAGAAUAUCUUUGGGAGUUGAAGUCUUCAAUUACGUCUAGUGACAUUGUCGCGGUUAUAGUAUCACUUUUGGAAAGUCCACUAGAAAAUCUGGAAAGUGAUGUGUUCACAGAGGACGACUGGAAAUUGGUGCAGCUGGUACUGACUUUGUUCCGAAACAUUUUAGCCAUUCAAGAUAUUUCAUUGCACCAGAAGUCUGGGGGAACUGCAAGUCAAUUUCUGUCACGCAGAGAUAGCUUUCUGGAACUUUUGUUUCGUGAAAAUGUGAUGGACUUGGUUUUGGUCAUAACACAGCAUAUUGGUGAUCAUCGUAGUUAUCUCUCUCAUGACAACUUGCUUCUAUUGGAAAUUUUCCAUUAUACAUUUAUGGGGCAAGAGCCAGAGUUGAUUGCAAAUGCAUAUUCAAAAGGAAAAGGUGCUAAGGUGGAAGAAGAUACCAUAGAUUCUGUAAAUAGUCUCAAGUCUAUUAUGGAGGAAGAGAAAGACAAAAAAAGACUAAAAGUUAGUCGUCAUCCCAAUUUUGGUGGGACAUUUAUUCGGCUUACCAUGGAUGGUUCUAAGGAAGUUGUCAAGGGAAGACCUUCUGCGUCUUGUAAUACAAUGCAGAAACCACAAAAUCAUCGUGGUCCAAUAAAAACAAUUGCUUGGGAUCAUGGUAUAUUACCUUCAACUGAGGAUAAGAUUUUGGAAUUGCUUCAUGACUUUGUGAACCAGUUUUUAUCAGGGGGUUACAAUGUUUUGAUGCAGUCAAUUCGUCAGGCCAUUGAAAAGGAACACCACUCGAUCCAGAAAAGUGAUGUCAUUAUCUUCUUUCAGGUUGCUCAGUUUGUUACUUCUUUCCAAUAUCACAGGCAUUCAAGUUCUAAGGUGAGAUAUGAUAUUUAAAUUCUGUCCAGUAAAGAGGCUGAUAGAACACUCUUCAGAGGUGAUAUAUGUGGGCCCAUUGCAACCUCAAUGAACGAGUCCAUGUUCCAACUAGUCAUUUCAAAGUGGCGUUAUGCAUUUGAUGGGUUAAAGGAAACACAUGACUACAAGUUUCUGUCUGCAGCUGGUUCUCUUAUGAAAGAAAUGAUCCGCAUGCUAGAUCUGGUGCUUAAGUUAUUGCCUGAGGACUCCAAGGAGCCUCAAACAGCUCGCAUUCUUCUGUAUAAGUUAUUUUAUGACCAGACCGAAGAAGGGAUGACCCAUUUUCUCUUAAGUUUGCUGAAAUCGUUCGACACUCACAAACAACCAAGAAGUGAUCUUGCAGAUCUGGUAGAGAUGGUUUAUAAAGUUUUACGGCUCAUGGAAAACCUUCAAGCAUCAGGAACAUUGAGGGUUUCUAAAAAGUCAAGGAAAGGUAGGAAGAGGAGAAAAGUGAGUGAGAAGGAAACAGAAAAUAAGCUCUCAGGAGAGCAUGAUAUGGUUCAGAAAGAGGCUGACAUCUCCAAGGGUGAACAAUCAACAGAUAUGCAUGUAACUGAGAAAAGAUGCCUAGAUACAAGUUCUGAUGGGAAACAAGACAUCAGCAUCCCUGGCCAACCUGAUGAAGGCAAAAAAGCUUUACUGGAGACGGAAAACUUCCCGGGCAGUCAGGCACAGUUAGAUCACAAAAAUUCUGGUGAUGUGAAUGAUGAUCUUGGUUAUAGUACAGGUGACUCUUCUGGUGAUGAGCAAGUACCUGCAACUGCUGAAGUUGAUUUUAAGGUGUCAACUUUGGUUUCUGCUUUUUCAAACCACAGCAUCAUCCAGAAAUUGUGUUGGUUGCUUAAGUUCUAUAAGAGUAACUUGACCAGAACAAAUCACUACAUAAUAUGCAUGUUGCGAAGGAUCAGCGAAGACCUGGAGCUCUCUCCAAUGCUGUAUCAGUUAUCACUCCUGACUAUAUUCUAUGAUAUUCUAGCUGAGCAAAAGUCAUCUGCUUGCAACGAAUAUGAAAACAUUGUUGGUUUCUUGAAAAGUUUGGUCAGGAAAAUGCUAAAAAAAAUGAAACAGCAACCCUUACUUUUUGUGGAAAUUCUCUUCUGGAAGACUCGCAAAGAGUGUCAUUACAUUAAUGCUGAAUAUCUAUUGCAUGAGCUUGGCCAAAUGAGGAACGAAAGUAGAAACUGGGGAGAUACUUUAGAGGAUGGAGAAACGGGUCGAUCAACAGACAAGGGGUGGACAGGUAGAAGCCUUGCAGAUGCACUUGGUGAAGAUGAAGCUGAUGUUGUGCUUGAUUUUGGACAUGACAACAAUGAAGAAAAUCUUGGAAACGUGGAAGGAGAUGCUGCGUCUACUUCAGAUAAUGAGAUUGAUGGGAAAAAAGAUCAUGACAAUGGGGUCCAGCCUAUGAAAACUGAAACUGGAAGGGGUCCCCUUAAAAAGAAAAGACUUGUUAUUGGAGAGGAACUGGAGAUGAAAAUUAAGGAUCUCUAUGAGAAAUUCAAGGAUAACCACAAUUGUAGUCAGCUCAUUGCUGAAGUACUUGAUCCUGAUGGGAAAAUUUUGUCAACUCAAAUUUCCAACAAGCUUAAACAUCUUGGACUCAAAGUUGCACGAAGGAAAAGAUUACGCCAUGCGCAGGAAUCUGUUUCUGCCGAGCCUAGUCAACCUGAUGGAGAUAAUGAAUUAAAGGAAACAGCUAUUAGUCAUCAUGAAUCAAAAAGUCGGCCUUUGUAAGAACAUUUUAAUACAAGAAAAAGAGUCCGUGGCUUAAGCGAAGGACAGGAAGCUCAAAUCAGAUCUCUUUAUGAUCAGUUUAAAGACCAUAAAACUUGCAGCCACAUGAUUGCUAAUGCAAUGGAUGGUGAUGAUAAACUGACAGCUCCUCAAGUUUCUCAUAAACUGAAGCAGCUUGGUUUAUAUAUUCCUCAGAAGAAGAGGUCUGGAGCUAACAGGCGGAUGAGGGAUCAGGAACUAAAUGAUUCCAACACAAACGACGCUAAUGCCUCUGAUGAUGAAACAUUGUUAUCGUUAAUGAAUAGGGGCAAAAAGGAUAACAUCAGAUUCAAUGAGGUACCAGAACAAACAGCUAGAAGAGAAGUGUCAGAAGAUGAGUCUGAUGAUGAAAUGUUAAGCUCUGUUCUCAAGAAAGCUAGGGGAUCCCUUUCUAAUUUAAAGGAUCAGAACCGUCCAGCCACCUCGAUUCAAGGAACAGCAAGAGGAAAUGCUUUAGAAAAUGAAGUUGAGGAAGCGGUUGUAUCUUCUGGGAGGGAUGUUAACAAGCAAUCCUCCGGAUUGGGACUUGCUAAAAGUGAUGAUGGUGAUACUUUCAAUCAAGUGAGUUCCCAUGGCACAGCACAAGCUGAAGUCACAAGCACCGGCAGUGGUGCACUAUCAAAUGUGGAAAAUUUAGAGGAUUUGCAACAUGAGAAAAUCGGCAUUGACUUGGACGAUUCAGGGGAUGAAGCGACUGAUAGUGCAUUAACACAAGGUGGUGCAAGUAGAAGGAAGAUGAGGAUGAUGGUACUGGAAGAUGAAGAUGAUGACUGA